AUUGAACGCUGGCGGCAGGCCUAACACAUGCAAGUCGAGCGAGCGGCGGACGGGUGAGUAAUGUAUGGGGACUGCCCGAUAGAGGGGGAUAACUACUCGAAACGGUGGCUAAUACCGCAUACUAUCGGAUAACCCAUAUGGGAUUAGCUAGUAGGUGGGGUAAAGGCUCACCUAGGCGACGAUCUCUAGCUGGUCUGAGAGGAUGAUCAGCCACACUGGGACUGAGACACGGCCCAGACUCCUACGGAGGCAGCAGUGGGGAAUAUUGCACAAUGGGCGCAAACCUGAUGCAGCCAUGCCGCGUGUAUGAGGAAGGCCUUAGUGUUGUAAAGUACUUUCAGCAGGGAAGCGUUGUCAGCAGGAGAAGGACCGUCUAACUACGUGCCAGCAGCCGCGGUAAUUC
rnacentral:rRNA from 1 species